AUAGGACCAGAGAUGUAGGCACAGGGCUUAGCCCUGGGAUCGCCACUAAGAAGUGUGAUCCCAUCCUCAGUGGGGGAUGCUGGAGAAGCCACUUACUUCCAGGUAGGGCUUGGCGGUGUUGCUGACAGACGGGGAGGAAAAUCGUUACUAUAUGCCAGGUAUUGUGAUAAAUGUUUUCAUAUCAUUUGUUCAUUUACAUCUCAGAAGAAACUCUUUAUGGAAGACAUAUUUUAAUCCCUAAUUUACAGAUGAAGAAAUUGUGGCUUAGAACAAGCAAGAGUUAGAAUAGCUGAGGCCCAUCUCACCUCUGCAAGUACUUGGGACUUGAUCCUUGAAGUUGUCACAGCCCCUGGGGACUAUCACCCUUUCUGCCUCCCUGCCUCUCAGGGUGUGGUCAGGAGGCAUGACAUCAGGUUUAUAAAUGGCUGUGUUCCCAAGAUAGUAGUGAACCUGUUUGCAUGUGUCAGCUGCUGUUAUUAAUAGAAAUUGUCAGCAUCACCCAGACUCUGCUUGACUGAAACCAUUAGCUGUCAGAGAUGGAAAUUUCUUCAUAAUCAAAGCCACAAAGGCUGGUUUAAGUUCAUGUCUAUAAGGGUAAUUUUCAUAAGAAGAGUGGCUGGCAAAAAAAGAAGAAGAGGAUUGUCUGGCUAGCUGCUCAGACACAGCCUCGGAAAAAGAGCAAGAUCGGGGCCUGGGCCUCAGCUCUGAAAGGGCAGAAGAACUCCGUGCUGUCAGUGAGAGCUUACUCGCUUCUUGGUGGCAUGUGUCACAGUGAAUCAUGUCAUGUUUCUUAGAACGCUCCCCUCUUGGCUCCAGCCUCAUUGACCAUACCCCCUCAGCUUCCUGGGCCAGCUCCUCUUCUCUACCUGACCUCUGGCUAUUGGUGCACUCCUGAGUUCAGUCCUCGGACCCCUCCUCUUCUGUGGCCCAUUCUCAUUCUGGGCUUUGAAGCCUAAAAAUUUAACUGCUGAGGAUUCCCAAAUGUAUGUCUCAGCCCUGAGCUACUUCCUCCAUUCUAUUCUCACAGCAUCCAGAUCCAUCCUUUUAAAGAUGAAUCAAAUUGGCUCACUCUGCUCUUUAAAACAUGUUAAUGACUUCACUUUGCAGGCAAAAUAAAACCCUCAUGCCUUGCCGUGACCCACAGAGCCCUAUGUGGACUGGCUCCUGCCUCUUAGACGUCACCUCCUCCCACCUGCCCUAUUGACUGUAUUCUAGCCAUACUGAACUCCUGCUUCUCCAGCACACCAACGCGGGGCCUUUGCACUUGCUGCCCUCACUGCAUCACGUGCUCUUCCCUUAACUCUACAUAGCUGGCUCCAUCUAAAGUAGCCCCUUCUCACUUCCUUCCCCACCUCCAGUUACUCUCUAUCACUUCACGUGUUUAUUUCCACUCUUUAUUUCAACUUGAAAUUAUUAAUAAUUCGUUUGUUUAUUUUCUGCCUCCCUUCCCCCCAACUCUGCUAAAAUCUUGAGUUUUAUAAAAUUGAGGCCUGAUCUUGUUCACUGCUGUAUUCCUAGCCCUAGAAUAUGAUUCUUAAUAUUAGUACAUUAAGUAUUUGUAGAAUGAUUGCGAGAGUAAGUGAAUGAAUGAAUGAACAAACAAAUGAGAACAAAUGGCAAACAAAUAAGCAGCGUUCCUGCUCUCAUAGUUAAGUGGACAGGUAUGAAAUGUCACGUGUGCGUGGAGACUUGUGCACUCUUCACUUCUGGAGGAGAAAAUCACAGGGUUAAUUUCAGACCUAGCGCAUUGGGUCAUCCAUGCGUAGACACGGGCAGGCUGAUAUAUAAGUCCAGAGCACGAAGCGGAGGCGACAGCUGAAGAUAAAAAAAUUGCAGUCAUCAGUUUAUAGAUGUUAAUUGAAGCUGUGAGCAUAGAUGAAAGCAGACAGAAUACCUAAUGAAAGAGGACAGAGUGAAAAGAACCAGAUCUAGGAGGACGAGCCAGCAAAGAAGGCUAAGAGAGAGCGGCUAGAGAAAUAGAAAAACCAGGGAAGUGUGGCCGCAGGAGCCAGUAGAAAAGUGUUUCCGGAAGGAGGCAGUGCUCAGGGCUCUCAAGUGCUCCUCCUCAUCCACACGUCAGCUCAGGCUGCCUUCUCAGCAAGGCCUUCCCUGAUCACCUGCUUCACGGAGCCCUCCCUUCUGGCGAUUCUCUUGUCACAUCUGUCUGUGGGGUUUUUUCUUGAGAGCAUUUAUCAUGAUCUGAGUCAGCUUGUUUAUAUGUUUAUUUAUUGGCUUAUUAUUCCCAUACCCACAGAAUAUAAGCUGCACAAAAGUAAGGACCUUACUGUGCUAUUUCCUGCUGCUUCCUCAGCCAGUUACCUCCUAGGCACCUAAUAUUAUUAAAUGAAAACAGCAGCUUCCUGAGGAGUAUAUAGUAUAUCAAUGCAUUUAGUUAAAAAACACACAUAGUAUAUAUUUACAUCGAAAAAAGUGAGGAAGAGCCCUAACCGGUUUGGCUCAGUGGAUAGAGCGUCUGCCUGCAGACUGAGGGGUCCCAGGUUUGAUUCCGGUCAAGGGCAUGUACCUUGGUUGCGGGCACAUCCCCAGUAGGGGGUGUGCAGGAGGCAGCUGAUCAAUGUUUCUCUCUCAUUGAUGUUUCUAACUAUCUCUCUCCCUUCCUCUCUGUAAAAAAAAUCAAUAAAAUAUAAAAAGAAAAAGAAAAAA